GGGCUAAUAGCUCAUUUGGUAGAGCGUUCGCUUUGCAUUCGCUUCACCGUCCGGGCUCCUGCCUAGGAUUUCUCUGAACAAACUCACCUGCGAAAGGUACAGGGUUCAACUCCCUGUUAGUCCA